rnacentral:rRNA from 1 species
GCCUACGGGAGGCAGCAGUGAGGAAUAUUGGUCAAUGGGAGAGAUCCUGAACCAGCCAAGCCGCGUGAGGGAAGACGGCCCUAUGGGUUGUAAACCUCUUUUGUCGGAGAACAAAACCCGGGACGUGUCCCGGACUGCGUGUAUCCGAAGAAAAAGCAUCGGCUAACUCCGUGCCAGCAGCCGCGGUAAUACGGAGGAUGCGAGCGUUAUCCGGAUUUAUUGGGUUUAAAGGGUGCGUAGGCGGUCUGUUAAGUCAGCGGUAAAAUUGCGGGGCUCAACCCCGUCUAGCCGUUGAAACUGGCAGG